rnacentral:rRNA from 1 species
UUAAGUUAUUAAGGGCGCACGGUGGAUGCCUUGGCACUAGAAGCCGAUGAAGGACGUUACUAACGACGAUAUGCUUUGGGGAGCUGUAAGUAAGCUUUGAUCCAGAGAUUUCCGAAUGGGGAAACCCAACAUGAGUUAUGUCAUGUUAUCGAUAUGUGAAUACAUAGCAUAUCAGAAGGCACACCCGGAGAACUGAAACAUCUUAGUACCCGGAGGAAGGUGGGGAUGACGUCAAAUCAUCAUGCCCCUUAUGAUUUGGGCUACACACGUGCUACAAUGGACAAUACAAAGGGCAGCGAAACCGCGAGGUCAAGCAAAUCCCAUAAAGUUGUUCUCAGUUCGGAUUGUAGUCUGCAACUCGACUACAUGAAGCUGGAAUCGCUAGUAAUCGUAGAUCAGCAUGCUACGGUGAAUACGUUCCCGGGUCUUGUACACACCGCCCGUCACACCACGAGAGUUUGUAACACCCGAAGCCGGUGGAGUAACCUUUUAGGAGCUAGCCGUCGAAGGUGGGACAAAUGAUUGGGGUGAAGUCGUAACAAGGUAGCCGUAUCGGAAGGUGCGGCUGGAUCACCUCCUUUCUAAGGAUAUAUUCGGAACAUCUUCUUCAGAAGAUGCGGAAUAACGUGACAUAUUGUAUUCAGUUUUGAAUGUUUAUUUAACAUUCAAACAUCUUUUUGACAAAGUGAUAUUGCUAAUGCAAAUUCUCGACAAUAGUUUCUUUUUAAAGAAAGCGAUUGUCAGACAAUGCGUUGAGAUAAAUUAAAGCGGAGUUUACUUCUUGUAAAUGAGCAUUUAAUUUAAUGAAAACAAAGCAGUAUGCGAACGCUUUACUAAAAAGAAAUUGUACAUUGAAAACUAGAUAAGUAAGUAAAAUAUAGAUUUUACCAAGCAAAACCGAGUGAAUAAAGAGUUUUAAAUAAGCUUGAAUUCAUAAGAAAUAAUCGCUAGUGUUCGAAAGAACACUCACAAGAUUAAUAACGCGUUUAAAUCUUUUUAUAAAAGAACGUGACUUCGUGUUAACGUUUGACUUAUAAAAAUGGUGGAAACAUAGAUUAAGUUAUUAAGGGCGCACGGUGGAUGCCUUGGCACUAGAAGCCGAUGAAGGACGUUACUAACGACGAUAUGCUUUGGGGAGCUGUAAGUAAGCUUUGAUCCAGAGAUUUCCGAAUGGGGAAACCCAACAUGAGUUAUGUCAUGUUAUCGAUAUGUGAAUACAUAGCAUAUCAGAAGGCACACCCGGAGAACUGAAACAUCUUAGUACCCGGAGGAAGAGAAAGAAAAUUCGAUUCCCUUAGUAGCGGCGAGCGAAACGGGAAGAGCCCAAACCAACAAGCUUGCUUGUUGGGGUUGUAGGACACUCUAUACGGAGUUACAAAGGACGACAUUAGACGAAUCAUCUGGAAAGAUGAAUCAAAGAAGGUAAUAAUCCUGUAGUCGAAAAUGUUGUCUCUCUUGAGUGGAUCCUGAGUACGACGGAGCACGUGAAAUUCCGUCGGAAUCUGGGAGGACCAUCUCCUAAGGCUAAAUACUCUCUAGUGACCGAUAGUGAACCAGUACCGUGAGGGAAAGGUGAAAAGCACCCCGGAAGGGGAGUGAAAUAGAACCUGAAACCGUGUGCUUACAAGUAGUCAGAGCCCGUUAAUGGGUGAUGGCGUGCCUUUUGUAGAAUGAACCGGCGAGUUACGAUUUGAUGCAAGGUUAAGCAGUAAAUGUGGAGCCGUAGCGAAAGCGAGUCUGAAUAGGGCGUUUAGUAUUUGGUCGUAGACCCGAAACCAGGUGAUCUACCCUUGGUCAGGUUGAAGUUCAGGUAACACUGAAUGGAGGACCGAACCGACUUACGUUGAAAAGUGAGCGGAUGAACUGAGGGUAGCGGAGAAAUUCCAAUCGAACCUGGAGAUAGCUGGUUCUCUCCGAAAUAGCUUUAGGGCUAGCCUCAAGUGAUGAUUAUUGGAGGUAGAGCACUGUUUGGACGAGGGGCCCCUCUCGGGUUACCGAAUUCAGACAAACUCCGAAUGCCAAUUAAUUUAACUUGGGAGUCAGAACAUGGGUGAUAAGGUCCGUGUUCGAAAGGGAAACAGCCCAGACCACCAGCUAAGGUCCCAAAAUAUAUGUUAAGUGGAAAAGGAUGUGGCGUUGCCCAGACAACUAGGAUGUUGGCUUAGAAGCAGCCAUCAUUUAAAGAGUGCGUAAUAGCUCACUAGUCGAGUGACACUGCGCCGAAAAUGUACCGGGGCUAAACAUAUUACCGAAGCUGUGGAUUGUCCUUUGGACAAUGGUAGGAGAGCGUUCUAAGGGCGUUGAAGCAUGAUCGCAAGGACAUGUGGAGCGCUUAGAAGUGAGAAUGCCGGUGUGAGUAGCGAAAGACGGGUGAGAAUCCCGUCCACCGAUUGACUAAGGUUUCCAGAGGAAGGCUCGUCCGCUCUGGGUUAGUCGGGUCCUAAGCUGAGGCCGACAGGCGUAGGCGAUGGAUAACAGGUUGAUAUUCCUGUACCACCUAUAAUCGUUUUAAUCGAUGGGGGGACGCAGUAGGAUAGGCGAAGCGUGCGAUUGGAUUGCACGUCUAAGCAGUAAGGCUGAGUAUUAGGCAAAUCCGGUACUCAUUAAGGCUGAGCUGUGAUGGGGAGAAGACAUUGUGUCUUCGAGUCGUUGAUUUCACACUGCCGAGAAAAGCCUCUAGAUAGAAAAUAGGUGCCCGUACCGCAAACCGACACAGGUAGUCAAGAUGAGAAUUCUAAGGUGAGCGAGCGAACUCUCGUUAAGGAACUCGGCAAAAUGACCCCGUAACUUCGGGAGAAGGGGUGCUCUUUAGGGUUAACGCCCAGAAGAGCCGCAGUGAAUAGGCCCAAGCGACUGUUUAUCAAAAACACAGGUCUCUGCUAAACCGUAAGGUGAUGUAUAGGGGCUGACGCCUGCCCGGUGCUGGAAGGUUAAGAGGAGUGGUUAGCUUCUGCGAAGCUACGAAUCGAAGCCCCAGUAAACGGCGGCCGUAACUAUAACGGUCCUAAGGUAGCGAAAUUCCUUGUCGGGUAAGUUCCGACCCGCACGAAAGGCGUAACGAUUUGGGCACUGUCUCAACGAGAGACUCGGUGAAAUCAUAGUACCUGUGAAGAUGCAGGUUACCCGCGACAGGACGGAAAGACCCCGUGGAGCUUUACUGUAGCCUGAUAUUGAAAUUCGGCACAGCUUGUACAGGAUAGGUAGGAGCCUUUGAAACGUGAGCGCUAGCUUACGUGGAGGCGCUGGUGGGAUACUACCCUAGCUGUGUUGGCUUUCUAACCCGCACCACUUAUCGUGGUGGGAGACAGUGUCAGGCGGGCAGUUUGACUGGGGCGGUCGCCUCCUAAAAGGUAACGGAGGCGCUCAAAGGUUCCCUCAGAAUGGUUGGAAAUCAUUCAUAGAGUGUAAAGGCAUAAGGGAGCUUGACUGCGAGACCUACAAGUCGAGCAGGGUCGAAAGACGGACUUAGUGAUCCGGUGGUUCCGCAUGGAAGGGCCAUCGCUCAACGGAUAAAAGCUACCCCGGGGAUAACAGGCUUAUCUCCCCCAAGAGUUCACAUCGACGGGGAGGUUUGGCACCUCGAUGUCGGCUCAUCGCAUCCUGGGGCUGUAGUCGGUCCCAAGGGUUGGGCUGUUCGCCCAUUAAAGCGGUACGCGAGCUGGGUUCAGAACGUCGUGAGACAGUUCGGUCCCUAUCCGUCGUGGGCGUAGGAAAUUUGAGAGGAGCUGUCCUUAGUACGAGAGGACCGGGAUGGACAUACCUCUGGUGUACCAGUUGUCGUGCCAACGGCAUAGCUGGGUAGCUAUGUGUGGACGGGAUAAGUGCUGAAAGCAUCUAAGCAUGAAGCCCCCCUCAAGAUGAGAUUUCCCAACUUCGGUUAUAAGAUCCCUCAAAGAUGAUGAGGUUAAUAGGUUCGAGGUGGAAGCAUGGUGACAUGUGGAGCUGACGAAUACUAAUCGAUCGAAGACUUAAUCAA